GAUGAACGCUGGCGGCGUGCUUAACACAUGCAAGUCGAACGGGAAUUAUUUUAUUGAAACUUCGGUCGAUUUAAUUUAAUUCUAGUGGCGGACGGGUGAGUAACGCGUGGGUAACCUGCCUUAUACAGGGGGAUAACAGUCAGAAAUGGCUGCUAAUACCGCAUAAGCGCACAGAGCUGCAUGGCUCAGUGUGAAAAACUCCGGUGGUAUAAGAUGGACCCGCGUUGGAUUAGCUUGUUGGCAGGGUAACGGCCUACCAAGGCGACGAUCCAUAGCCGGCCUGAGAGGGUGAACGGCCACAUUGGGACUGAGACACGGCCCAGACUCCUACGGGAGGCAGCAGUGGGGAAUAUUGCACAAUGGGGGAAACCCCGAUGCAGCGACGCCGCGUGAAGGAAGAAGUAUCUCGGUAUGUAAACUUCUAUCAGCAGGGAAGAUAGUGACGGUACCUGACUAAGAAGCCCCGGCUAACUACGUG
rnacentral:rRNA from 1 species